rnacentral:tRNA from 1 species
CUGGUAAAAGGAAGACUCGAACUCCCGUUGGUGAAUUUACAGCUCACCGCCUAAACUCUCGGCCACCUUACCC